rnacentral:lncRNA from 1 species
CACCGCAAGGACUGGAGAAGGGCACCCUUGGAAAUGCAAUGCUACAUCUCAAUGGGAUUUUCCAGUACAAAGAUUCUUUUCAAAUAACAUAAUUGUGGAUACACACCACUCCUACAGUGGUAAACCUCAGGUUCUCCUCCUGCCUUUUGCUAAGUAUAUGUCUUGAUGACAAGCCUUCUGCUGAUGAGCUGUGUUUCUGGACCGAUCAUGGUAGAAGUCAAUUAACGUGUCCCUCACUUGGGGUUUCUCAAGGCUGCACUGAUGAGGAAACUGAAACAGAAAAUCCAGAGUAAAUUCCACCAGGCCACACAGCAAGGUCUGAUAGAGCCAGGAGAGACUUUAUGAAAUCCAGACUCUCACACUAAUGCUCUAUCAGCUAGACCUCCAUGUGAGUCUCCCCAAUGUAGGUAGGAAGUGCUUUCCCUAAAAUGCUCAUAAAGCAAAUCAGAGCAAUGCUGCAUUCCAUGUGAUUUCUAAUUUGAAAUGCAAACAAUUGCCAAUUUGUUUGACUUGUAUUUAUAAUUAUUUCCUUGUGAAUUACUCAUCACUAAAUGCUUUAUAAAUAUUUUCUCUUUUUUUCCUCAAUGUCUAUGGAAUGAUCACAGCAUAGAAAAUGUUGGCUUUCAAGGAUUUAUUAAUAUCUCCUUUUGAAAUAACAUGUAUUUGUAAGACGGAAUAAAAUCACUUUAAAGAAACAAA